GGAAGGCGCUAGAAGAAAGGAAGGGAGGGAAAAGAAGGAAAAAUAAUAACGCUAUGCGAUUUCGCUGGUGGUGGUGCCGGCGGCGACAGUCGGGGAGUAGAGGUACCGGACCGGCGGCCUCAAAUGCUCUGCACAAACUUAGUCAGGAAGAAGAAGGUCGUUAAUGGCCUUGCAAUUGCAAAUGAGUUGGCAACCGAGUUUACUGAGUCAGAAGCGGCGGAACGGCCCCCCACUCGGUCUCAAAAACCUAGGCAAUACCUGCUAUCUCAACAGCGUCC
rnacentral:misc_RNA from 1 species